GACGUAGGGCGCGAGCGUUGUCCGGAUUUAUUGGGCGUAAGGAGCUCGUAGGCGGCUUGUUGCGUCAGCUGUGAAAACCCGCAGCUCAACUGUGGGCUUGCAGCUGAUACGGGCAGACUGGAGUUCGGCAGGGGAGACUGGAAUUCCUGGUGUAGCGGUGAAAUGCGCAGAUAUCAGGAGGAACACCGGUGGCGAAGGCGGGUCUCUGGGCCGAUACUGACGCUGAGGAGCGAAAGCGUGGGGAGCGAACAGG
rnacentral:rRNA from 1 species